AUUGAACGCUGGCGGCAGGCUUAACACAUGCAAGUCGAGCGGAGUGAUGGUGCUUGCACUAUCACUUAGCGGCGGACGGGUGAGUAAUGCUUAGGAAUCUGCCUAUUAGUGGGGGACAACAUCUCGAAAGGGAUGCUAAUACCGCAUACGUCCUACGGGAGAAAGCAGGGGAUCACUUGUGACCUUGCGCUAAUAGAUGAGCCUAAGUCGGAUUAGCUAGUUGGUGGGGUAAAGGCCUACCAAGGCGACGAUCUGUAGCGGGUCUGAGAGGAUGAUCCGCCACACGGGGACUGGGAAACGGACCAGACUCCUACGGGAGGUCGCAGUGGGGAAUAUUGGACAAUGGGGGGAACCCUGAUCCAGCCAUGCCGCGUGUGUGAAGAAGGCCUUAUGGUUGUAAAGCACUUUAAGCGAGGAGGAGGCUCUUUUGGUUAAUACCCAAGAUGAGUGGACGUUACUCGCAGAAUAAGCACCGGCUAACUCUGUGCCAGCCGCCGCCGUAA
rnacentral:rRNA from 1 species